rnacentral:ncRNA from 1 species
UUCUGUGAAGAUACAAACUGCCCACACUUGGAUGAAUAGACUGAAGCUUUACUAUUUCCUGGGAAUAAAUAUGGAUUCUUCUUUACAUUUUUGGUGGACAGCAAAGAAGUUCCUUUAAUGUGGAGCUUGAGCCAUAACUGAGAUACAGCUCUAGCAGAGUUAGAAUUCCAACCUGUAUUAGGACCCAUGUUCCAAGGGGAUGAUCUUGGGUAAAUAAUUUCUAUGGGGCAUAAGACUCAAAUGGUAAUGAAGGCAUGCAAAGGUUUCCUUGGGCUGCGCAGAAAUUGACCCUUGAAUGUAAAGCAAGAGCUAGCUUGACUGAAGAACCCACCUGUCAAGCAGAGGCAAAAAUCGGCCUUAGUGGUUCAGAAGGAUUGAGCAGAAGUGUCAUUGCUCAAUGGUAGAAGGUACUCUACAAAUAAUGGGCUAUUCUUCCUUGAGAGUUCACAUUGAUGGGAAGUCGAUGUCCAUAGUAGAGUUUGUAUGGCUCAAGAACAAGCCGAGGUGGA